rnacentral:rRNA from 1 species
GCCAGACUCCUACGGGAGGCAGCAGUGGGGGAUAUUGCACAAUGGGGGAAACCCUGAUGCAGCGACGCCGCGUGGGCGAAGAAGUAUUUCGGUAUGUAAAGCCCUAUCAGCAGGGAAGAAGAAAUGACGGUACCUGAGUAAGAAGCACCGGCUAAAUACGUGCCAGCAGCCGCGGUAAUACGUAUGGUGCAAGCGUUAUCCGGAUUUACUGGGUGUAAAGGGGGCGCAGACGGCAGCGCAAGCCAGGAGUGAAAGCCCGGGGCCCAACCCCGGGACUGCUCUUGGAACUGCGCGGCUGGAGUGCAGGAGGGGCAGGCGGAAUUCCUGGUGUAGCGGUGAAAUGCGUAGAUAUUAGGAGGAACACCAGUGGCGAAGGCGGCUUACUGGACAGUAACUGACGUUGAGGCUCGAAAGCGUGGGGAGCAAACAGGGUUAGAUACCCUGGUAC